rnacentral:rRNA from 1 species
UCCUACGGGGGGGCUGCAGUGGGGAAUAUUGCACAAUGGGCGCAAGCCUGAUGCAGCAACGCCGCGUGAGGGACGACGGCCUUCGGGUUGUAAACCUCUUUUAGCAGGGAAGAAGCGAAAGUGACGGUACCUGCAGAAAAAGCACCGGCUAAUUACGUGCCAGCAGCCGCGGUAAUACGUAGGGUGCAAGCGUUGUCCGGAAUUAUUGGGCGUAAAGAGCUCGUAGGCGGUUGUCAAGUCUGCUGUGGAAACCCGAGGCUCAACCUCGGGCUUGCAGUGGGUACGGGCAGACUUGAUUGAAGUAGGGGAGAUUGGAAUUCCUGGUGUAGCGGUUGUCGGUUUUUAAAAGUUUUUCCA